GUUUUGUUUACAUACAUGCGUAUUUUGUACAUUUGAUAUGUGCCACUGUGAUAAAAUCCCCAAAAUUAUGCUCUAUUACAACUUCUGAGUAAAACAAUAUGUCUAAUCUAUGGCUUAGACACUAUUUUGUAAAGAGAUGUGACCUUUUCAUUUUAAGUGUGAAUUUUCAUAGGAUUGUGUUUAUAGGUGCAUGUUCCAUUUUAGCAGGUUGCGAAUUCAAAC